rnacentral:rRNA from 1 species
CCUACGGGGGGCUGUAGUGGGGAAUAUUGGGCAAUGGGCGCAAGCCUGACCCAGCAACGCCGCGUGAAGGCAGAAGGCUUUCGGGUUGUAAACUUCUUUUGUCAGGGAAGAGUAGAAGACGGUACCUGACGAAUAAGCCACGGCUAACUACGUGCCAGCAGCCGCGGUAAUACGUAGGUGGCAAGCGUUGUCCGGAUUUACUGGGUGUAAAGGGCGUGUAGCUGGGUUGACAAGUCAGAUGUGAAAUCCUGCGGCUUAACCGCAGAACUGCAUUUGAAACUGUUGAUCUUGAGUACUGGAGAGGCAGACGGAAGUCCUAGGGUAGCGGUGAAAUGCGUAGAUAUUAGGAGGAACACCAGUGGCGAAGGCGGUCUGCUGGACAGCAACUGACGGUGAGGCGCGAAAGCGUGGGGAGCAAACAGGAGUAGAUACCCGGGUAGUC